UUGUGGAAUGCACCGCUAAAAGUAAACUGGUUCAUCUGAAGCUCCAUGGGCAGUGCGCACCGUGAUAUAGACAAGCGGAAGCAGAACAUCAGAUGUGAAAUAUUUGGAAAAGCAUGGACAGGAGAAAAGUGAGAGAGCCAAUCUAGUCAUGGAAAAAGAUUCCGCGGUCGUAAAAGGUAGGUAUACUAUACAUUAGGAUGCAAGAAAGAAUACCUAUAGGAAGCACCCGUUUGUCACAUACAAUUCUUAGGCCCCUCCCAAUGCUCCACCUUGUACAGGUGCUAAGCCUUCCACGUAGGCAAAAAAUCUGAUGUGGCAAGUUAUUUAAGAGGGGAGAGAUGGGUGUGGUGACCUCAGGAAGAACCAAUGCUAAGCACGUGAACCUAGGCAAAAUAUUUAAAAGAAUGGAGCCCACCAAUACAUGAAGAGCUUUAGUUGUUAAAUCAUUAAAUGAAGCAAGCUUAGCAACCAUAAGCUAAGCACCUAUGCAUUGGGGAGUAUAGUUGCUAAGCUAUUUAAUGUGCUUAGCACCUCAUCUAAGCAUCCAUGCAUUGCCAGCAGCCUUAUUACAUCCACCCCUUCAUUAGCACAGAAGGAUGGAUCCAUAUUCAUAAUUUGCAGUGUAAUGAACUGCAACUUCCUUCAUUAAAAUCUAGUCUGAGAAUUGGACAUAUAUGCUUAUUUAGCCUCCAAUUUGGUACCCUGGUGUCCAGCCACCACAGCUCUCUAUGUGUAGAAGAUAGACAUGGUCAGGGAAGAGAGCUAAAUUAGGGAAAGGUAGAGGGCAUGGAAGGGGGCGGGGGAGUACCUGUGUGUGGAGGGAAGGGUGGCCUCACCGGCGUCCACGCAUGGUGGCGAGAAGUACGUGGACGAGGGUGGCCUCGAGCGGAAGAACGGCGACGACCCGCAGAUCCGCUCUGCUCCACCUCCUGCCACGACGUGCCCUCGCAGCCUGCUGCUCAAUCUGCGGGAGGGGAACAGGAGGAGGUCGCUGGUGGAUGGGGAGAGGUGAGGGGAGAAGAGAAGACGUGGUGGCGGCGGCGGCGGGGGAGGUCGUCCAGAGAGAGGGAGAGGGCAAGGAACCGGGGGAUGUGGAACGAAUCUGGGGCUGGUGGGGCGUGGGGCUAGCGCUCUUUCCCCUUUUUUUCUCUCUCUCGACGCUGAUAGCGCGAGACCUUUGCUCCUUUCAUUGGCUGCG
rnacentral:lncRNA from 1 species